rnacentral:misc_RNA from 1 species
GUACAGGAGCAAACAAAUCAAUGAUUCUUGAGAAGCAAAUGCCCGAUGAUUCAAGUAAAGGCUAAUAUCUACCCUUAAUCACAUAAAUGACAAGAUAAUAUUGUCAGUCUCAUAGUUUCUUUCAUGUCAGUUGAGCUGAGCAUUCACUCCACACACACACACACACACGAACUACAGCACCUUGAUCCCACAAGACAAGAAUGAACAAACAUAAGUACCCCUAAGAAGAAACAUCUGAUCCACUGCAUUCCCAUUUCACAGAGAAAGGUAAAGCUAAUUUAUUCCAUGUAAUGUAUUGAAUGUAACAGACAUGACGUGGCUAAUUAAGAUAGCCCUGGAAUCAACACAUCAAAUAUCAGCAACUCUGGAUUUAUUAAUGCAGGUAGUCCCACUUUCAACCAUCAUUUAUACAUAGGCAUCUCUUGAAAAACGUUUAGCGUUCUCGUUGAUUAGAAAUCAGACUGAAGCAGCAUUAGAUCUGUCCCAGAAUAACCUCGCCACCAGAAACCUUGAAGUCAGAUGGAACUUCCUCCACAUUAAGAACCUUAACCUUUCCAUCUUCCACAUAUGCUGACCAUCGUUGAGAGCGAGGCCCAAGCAAAGCAACAGAUAGAUCUUUAUCUAGCUCCAAGCUUUUGUGAAAGCUCCCAUCAAAGUCCCCAUAAAAUUCAAUAGCAUCUUUAGCUUGAAGUUUCUCUGCCCAGCCAUUCAGGACGUACGGAUCAUUAACAGCCACACAAAUCACCGAAUCAAUCCCUUUAGCCUUGAACUUAUCAAUGUUGUUUUUGUAACUAGGCACGUGUUGUUGCGAACAAACCCCCGUGUAUGCACCCUGGAGAUAGUAAGUGCAAAACACAUCAAAUUAUUGAAGCACUGUAUCAAUAAAACGAAAUAAUUCAGCUCCAGACAAUUCAGAUGCAGGUGAAGAAAAAUGCAAUGCUUGAAGAUAAUGAGGCAAGCAGGACAAAGAAAAAGGCAGAAGAAACUUACAGGGAGGCCAAAAAUCACGACUUUCUUCCCCUGGAAAUAUAAAAUUAAACAAAACUCAGAAAAAAUAAUAAUGGUAAUAAUAAUAAUAAUAAUGUGUGGAUUCGUGCGACUAAAUACAUAUGGGUCAAAUUUGCCGCUUUAUUGUCAACCACAAAAACAAUCAUUAACCAAGCUGUGCAAAUCAAACACGAACGAGAAAAACCAUGAUUCAGUGCCACAUCCAUCAUAUGCUCCAGAAAUUAGCUGCUUGUGAAAUUCUAAUUCCAUCACCAAAUCAGAGUUCUUUUGUUUCUCACUUUCCAAUUCCAUCCUUUGCCUUUCAUUCACUUGCACUAAUUGUUCCUGUUCUGACACUUCCCCUCCUAACAGACCAAUUAGGUUCGCUACCUUCUGUCUUUGCUCGUUCAAAGUCCUCUUUAACACCAUUAAGCCCCCUACCAUUCUCUCCUUAUCAAUUCCUUUGUCCCCGUGGCCAUCUUCUCCUUGAGAAUUCACCUUCGCCUCGUCUGCCAUGCUGCUAGGUGAAAUCCUCCCACUUGAUUCUCCUGAAUCAACUGACUCAUUCAGCUCAAUUUUCUUAUCCUGAAUGAUGGUUUCACCUCCGAAACGAACCUGUUUCACAAUUGAAUCGUCUUUUGACUCGUUAGGGAAUUUUGGGUCAAGCUCGAAUCCCUCCCUGUUGAAAUUCCAGCCACUAAUCUUCCUUAUCUUCACAAUUUCAUUCCCCGUGUCCCCCUCAAUGCCCUCCUCUUCUCCAUUUUCACUACCUGUACUCAUUCCGUGUAACGCCUUGCUUUCUUUGAAUCUUUCUUCGAUGCUGGGCAACCCAGGCAAGACGUUCUUUACCAAAAAAUCCAAGCCCCUUCAGUUCUUGAAAAAAGGAUGCUUUAAAAGCUUCUCAGCAGAGGGCCUUUCUGAUGGGUCUUGGAUGAAGACAAGAACCAACCAUAUCUUUAAAAGCUUUAAAGAACUUCUUACUCUUAUCUUUCUUGUGCUUCUCAUAGUCAGAGAACCGAAACCGCUCUGUUAUCUUCAUAAUCAGACUUGGAAAGAGGAAGGUGAGACAAAGGAGGCCGACCAUGGGCUAGUUCCAAUGCAGUGAUACCAAAAGACCAUAUAUCGGCCUUAAAACUAUACCCUGUGUGGGAGUGUAUAACCUCAGGUGCCAUCCAAUAUGGGGUCCCCGCAACAUCUGUGAGCAUCAAUCUCGAUGAGCACGACGACGAAGCCCAGCCUCUUCCAGUAUUCGACUCGUAAAUCGAGGCUGAUACACCAAAGUCUGCGAGCUUAACGUGUCCGUUUGAGUCUAUGAGAAUGUUGCCUGCCUUGAUAUCUCUGUGCAAGUGGCCUUGGUUGUGAAGAUACGACAGUGCGUUUAGGGUUGCUUUGAGAACUACAGCAAUGCAUGGCUCUGAUAGGCCGUCGGGGAAAGAUGAGGAAAUUAUGGAUUGAAGAGAACCAGCAGACAUGAAAGGCAUAACGACCCAAAGGCGGCGACCAACGGUAAAGGAGCAAUGGGCUUUGAGGAUGUUUGGGUGUGAAAGAAGGGACAUGGUCUUGAUUUCCCAUCUAACGUUGUCGAAAUCUGCUCGAGAUUGAUCAAGAUCGAUAGAUUUGAUGGCAACCACUGUAGAGUUCAUGGGGGUACAUAUUGCUUUGUAAACUAUGGCACUAACACCAACACCAAUCUCGUCCAAGAUUUUGUAGGAGCUUGAGUCUAAUGGGAACUGAAGCUUUUUUGGUUCUUGAUCAUGUUCUUGAGCCAUGAAGGCUAGGUAUAACUGAAUCUUGAAUGGGUUUUGGGCGAAUUGUUGUUGUUUUCUUGAAUUGGGUUUUGGGAGAUUUUUUUUAUGAUGUGUUGUGGAUAUUGUUGCAGAAGAAAGGGAAAAAGAAAGGAAGUAGGUAUUUCUGAUGGUUUUCUUGUGAGGUUUUGAAAGGGAAAGAAAACAGUCAUGGCGGUGACAUCUUUGAAAGGGAGACGAUGCAUGUGAAUGUCAACUGCUUUUUAUCUGAACAUGAAUUAAAUAGUGAGGUUGAAGAUAAAUGUGGCGGUUCAAUUUUUGAGAAUUAAAUAAAACUAAAUCCAUAUAUUUUGGUUUCUUGCGUCUUCUGGUUUGGGUGUGAACCUGAUAGUAAGUUUGGGUUUCAAUUUAUAAUUACAGAAUUACUCCAACUAAUCUAAUACUUGAAUUCGUCUGCAAUUUUAUUUUAUUUUAUUUUUUGCAAGCAAUGGCUUCCGACGCUAGC